UUCUAGACCUAGGGCCAAAAUUUCACCAGUAAAACUUUCAAAAUUCACUCGAAGUCGCCAAUAUUUUCGUAGUUUUGACCAUUUUUAUUUAUUUUUUUUUUUUUUUUUUAUCAAAAUCGAGUGAAUUAACGUAGUUUCAAUAAUUUAAAAUUGUCCAAAUUUUUACAACGCCUACAUCGGCGUGAUAUUUUCCAUAUCAUGUUACUAAUUGCUAUGGGUUUUCGCUUCACUUAGCAAAUCAUCGAAUGUCGUAACGAUUCCUGGCAACGUUAAAGCCAGUCGACUCAGCGUAGUAAAGGCGAGGGACUGUACCGCCUCAACGAAAUUAAUUUUCCAUCUCGUCGUCGUACCAUCACGUUAUCUACGAUUUUCAUCCGACGGUUCCAGUAUUUUCAAUCGACUCUUCAAAGAUAAAAAAUUGUAUACGAUUCAUUACGUCUUGCUAGUCGUUUUCUCGCACCUGUGUGUGCAAUCGAUGAUUUUCUUUUGUGAUGUUGAUGUAAACAGUGUAAUUUGUCCGAUUUGUAAUUCAUUCAAUGAUGUUAGAAUUGUGUAAAAUAUCAUGUACCCUGUAGUAACUAGUUUACGGUUACGUGACCGUUUUUUCAUUUUUCCUAUCUUGUUGUUUAUGUUUGUUUUUGUUUAAUUUUCAAUCUUUAUUUUUUCUUAAUUUUUAUUUUUUCGAAACACGUGGACCAAAAUUGUAAAUUUUUUCAAAAGAGGUGCUCAAUUUUUAAUUUUUAAGCAUUUGUUAUUGUUUUUAUAUAAAGCGCCAGUAAAAGAAGAUAAAAAAGAAGUCCACUAUUAAUUUGUAAAAAGUGUUUGUUUUAUGUAUUUUGAAUGUUUUUUGACGUAUUUUUUGACAGUUUUCAUUUUUAUCAACUCUUAAAUUUUUUGAUGUAAUUUCGCCCAUUUCUGCCACAGUGCAGUACAGCUGACCUGAAACAGAAUCCACUGCGAUUCGAAUAACGGUUCGCUCCUCUUGGCUUUUGUCUUAUCUCCAAUUUUGACCGGAAGGGUACUCCAGCCACUGCGCUGAAACAGAAAAAUUUCGAAUAGAUUAGGGAAAAGUCUUCUUUUUGGAAACUGUCUCGUAAGUAUACUGUACAUACCUGGUACACCUGGCUCAUGUGAGCUGCUCGCGCUUGCCUUCGGUUCUUGGAUCGCUGGUGGGCAGUGCAGUGCACUGAGUUCAGGGGUGGUAGACGAGUGCAGUUACUUACGUACGUGGGUGAAAAGUGUAUUUUCUCUGCUCCUACUUUCACACAGUGAAACACACGGGGGGCAGGGGACCGAUCCUACAUCGGGUCAAUCACCUUACAGGUGCGUCAUAUAACUCUCAUAAUAUCCGUAUGUUCCUCUGUGGCUACUCUCACGAGUAAACACACGAAGGGGCAUAUGUGAGAGGGAUAUAUGCCGUUCCUGUAAGGGAUAUUAGGGACAGAUUACCACCCUUGUGGUGGUAACACUGAACAGCGUCGCGAGCUGGACGUCGAGUCCGGUGAUCGGCGCUGCGGCCGUUAUUCGUCAUGUACUACUGUGUAGUGUCGGGUCAGUUAAUUUGAGUUUAUUGGGCACGUUCGCGUGAAUGGUUAAUUUGAACUUAUUAUUUCUUUGUAAUGUCAAUUUGAAUUUAUAUGGUUAAUUUGAGUUUAUCAGUGUAUUAAUUGUGUUAAACGGUUUCGCCGAAGAAGGCAAUUAUUAUAUUAUUGUUUCAUUGUGAAAUUGUGUUUAAAUCGACAUGUAUCGUAAUUGAAUACAUAAUUCUACCAACACCGCGUGUCGUGUAUUAUUCUGUGUAAUAUUAUUUACCAAUCUAGCCGGGGUAAGUCUCUUCUUAAUCCAUUAUAGGAAGUCAGCAUAAAGUAAUAUUUCACAACCCCUAAGAAAGUUUUCUACUAAAAUACUUUGGUUGGUCACAGUGAAUGAUAAUAAUAAUAGGGUAAUUCCACCAAUUUUACACUUUUUCGCGUUCCGAUUAGAAUAUUGUAUGAGUAGUGCUCAGAUUGAAAUUUUUUUUGCGUGGAAGUCAAUCAUUGUCACCCCCUCUAUCAUCCCACAACAUUGUUGAGUUCCUCAUAUACCCCCCUUAACAGUGAAUUUUCCACUGCCGUGGCUGUAGUACACCUUGUUUUGAAAUAAUUAUAUUUUUAUUCUCGGAAGUGAAUUGAAGUUCUGCAAAAACAAAUAUGAUUUUUCCAUGUUAAAAAAGCUCGUUUAACACAGGUCACUUAUAGAAUUUAGCCACAUGCCUCUAAUAAGGUCUGAGGUGACCUCAAACCUGUGUAGUACAGUUUUAUUCCACUGCCGUGGUCAAUUUUUGUUUCUUUGGUAUGACUAACUGUUUCACAUUUUUUGUGUUCAAAAAUAACUACACUGCUUCUUGUAGGUCACAAAGAAUCUCAUCCACCAAUAAAACUUUGUUUCCAAGUAGUUCUAUCUAGCUGAGGAAUGAAAAUCUUCAAAAACUGUGUUGUUUACAUUUUUUCACCUCCACUGCCGUGGGCAAUCACCAAUCAAAUAUGUGCAGCUACAAAAUUUCAAAUAUGCCGAAAAAUAUUUAUUGGUAAAGUACUAAAGCAGAUCCUUUACAAAAAAUUUUUAAAAAAUGAGUUUGAGACAUCGUUGAGGAGUCUUAAAUGCCAGAUAUUCCACUGCCGUGGGCAAUUGAUUUGUUUCCACUGCCGUGGCAAGUACACAAUUUUUGCCUAUUCAUUUCUAAAAAUGAUCAAAAGUUGUUAAUUUGACACCAAUAUUUCCUGAUCUAACUACAACAAUUACUUUAUGCCUGUAUUGGUGCCAAAAAAUUGUAAAAAUUAAAUUUUUCUUGUUUUUUAUUUUUUUUUCAAAAAAUUUUUCCCGAUUUUUUUUUAUUUUUUCAAUUUUUGAAUUUAUUUGGUGUUUUUCUUUUCAAAUGUUCGCGUGUAGUUUCUAUUUUUGUAUUAGUUCAAUUCUUGAGCCUUGCCAACGUUGAAAUAUGCUGCUGUUGCUGACCACAGCGUGUGUAAUCCGCCAUCUUGUUUGGCCACGGUAGUGGAAAAUUACACUGCCGUGGCCAACCACGGCAGGUGGAAAAUUUGAAAUGGCUCUCCCCCCUCCCCCAAGAGGUAUGAAUUGAGCAGAACACUAUAAGUGAAGUCUAGGGUAGGUGUACUAUCAAUUCCACACAAAAAAAAAUUCUCAAAGCACUUUUUAAAAAUUUUUUUUUAGAGGUAUUUAAAAAGUGUAAAAUUGGUGGAAUCACCCAAUAGCAGAUGAUUGGUUGUUGGACUGGAGAGAUAACAUUCCACCAAUCAUAUGCAUCUAUUUCACGUUGCCAACCUAUAUUUUUAAUGAAAAACUUUCUUAGGGGUGCUCGAUAUUUCUGGGCACCCUGUAAUAUGUACAUUUUCAACGUCUGCGCAUCUGUUGCAUGAACAUUUCAAAUAUCAGGAAAUUAUUGGUUACGAAUUUAAAGACUUUUUUAAAUCAAAAUUUUUAGUUCGAUUUCUGCGUGGUGUCUUUGGAUUUCCUCGACAACUGUCACGCUCUAGGAAAGAGUUGUCCAUAACGCCAGAACUACGAGUACCUAUACGUGUAAGUGGGAUCUGAAAAAGGUGAGCUUUUCAAUGUAAUUUUGAGAAGGAGUUUUUGUAAGUAUGUAAUAUGCAAAAAGAAUUUUCGAUUCACAAAGUAGAAUACCUACCUAUUUUAGCUUCAAUAUGCAUUCAAAAAAUCGAUCAUGGGGUAAUUAUUUAUUUUAUAGUGUUGAUGUUUGAAAAUUGUCACUGAAGCCGAAGUAAGGUAUUCUACUUUUUGAAUCAAAAAAUCUUUUUGCAUACUUAUUAAAUCUAAAACUACUUUUCAAAAUCAAAGUUGUAUUUAAAAUUGAAAAACUUGUUUUUUUUUCGAUCCCUUUUUUCUUGACAGUUCAUUUCAUUCGGACCGGAUGGACCGGGCAUUCACGUAGAGGGCGCUAAUGAGCUGCUGUAAUGUUUACAUUUUCAGACGGGGCUUUUCUUGUUUUCUUUACGAAAACAUUGAUCUGAAAUUGAAUGUUUGAAUGGUUUAAAAGUGAUAAAAUAAUUAUUAGAGGUAAUUAUUUUUAUUAUUAUUAUUGCAGAUUAAUUUAAUAGUGAUCAAAUCAUAUUUACACUUUUAACUCGUAAAAAAAAAACUGAUAAGAAAAUCACCGCCUGAAAGUCAAAAAGUGGCACACAAGUGCUCUACGUGAGUGUGCGGUUCGAACAAAGACCAUAGGUCUUUGGGUUCAAAUUAGCCAAUCAGAAUCGAGAUGAAAACAAGGCGACGCUAGCGCUGCUCAGGGCUGUCGAAUUCCUUAAUCCUUAUUCCUAAUUAAUCCUAUAGUAUUUUAUAUGGUGUUAUCACUCGGUAGAAUUCCCAGCGUGUUGUUAAGCGAUAGGAAGAAUUAUCCACAUUACGAGUAAUGGAGUAAAUCAUUCCUGAUCCUGUUCAAGAUCUUGACGAAGCUCGAUUGGUAUUUAGAGUUGGAAUAAGUAUUAGUCUAUGUUCAUCUUGUCGUUCUGCAAACCUGCGUGUGAAGUAUGUCGAAUUAUAUCGAAAAAGCUGAAAACAAAGGAAUCAACGAUUAUUCCAAGUUCGAUGAAAAAAAUUGUACUUACACGUGGAUAAUCGACAACUAUCGAGCGCGAGGAGAUAACUUUCAAUCCCCGGCUUUCACAGCUGAUGGCGAUGAUUUCAAGUGGCGUUUGGAACACAGAAUAUCGAGGACAAGAAUUCCCUCUUCGGUAAUCAUCUAUUUACGUCCAGAUUCUGACGCUGAUUAUAAAAAGUACAGCUCUGUAUCUGGAAAUUUGAGUGUUUCAGUGAUCACCGGUAAGCUGAGGUUAGAAUUUGAAUAUUCUUCACCUGAUCAAUCUUCCUUCGAGCUUAUCUCUAAUGAAACCGAGAAGAACCGAUCUCCUGAAUUUAAUUUUGGCGACCUUUCUAUGAUUCUGAAACUGCUACAGAACGAUGAAAUGCAUGUUGUCUGCGAAUUGAAAUACUCGAAAACAAUCAAUACUACUUCUCAUGAUAAUUCUGCCUUCGAGUCGAGUCUAUCACGUGACCUCGAACGGAUUCGUAUUGAUGAAGAUUUCAGCGAUGUGACUAUUUCAGUCGAUGGUAAAAAUUAUCCGGCUCAUAAAUUGAUUUUAGCCGCUCGAAGUUCGGUUUUCAAAGCCAUGUUCAAAAAUGAUAUGAGAGAAAGCCAGAAAAAUCACAUUACGAUCACAGAUAUGGAAAAAGAAACAUUCGAAGAAAUGUUACACUACAUUUACUCUGGAAAGGUUAGGAAUUUGGAAAAAUCGGCCUUCGAAUUACUCCUCGUUGCGGAUAAAUACGACCUUGAAGAACUUAAAAACGCGUGUGAACGACUUUUGAUCACAAAAAUAUCAGCAGAAAAUGUAGGCAAGAUUUUAGUACUGGCUGAUAUGCAUAAUGCUGAAGAAUUAAAGGGACGUGCUCUACGAUUCAUUAAAGAGAAUCCUGCCAAUUUCGAGACAGAGAUAUGGAAUGUUUUGACAGAAUCCCGUCCUGGUUUGAUGAAAGAUAUUCUAGCUAUGUUUUUAAAGAAAUGAACGAUAUCGUCUUAGAUAAUAAUUCAAGAAAAUGGAAGUUUAGAAUGUUUACAGUUUCUUACAUCUCGUUCAUUUCUCAAAACACAUUGUGCGAUGAAUUGACAGAAAUUGGAAAAUUUUCACGAUACUCGUACUUAGUCUAUAGUCUUAUCUUCAGUUGACAAAAGGUUUGUUAAUCCGUUUUGGGGGGGGGCUGGCUUGAUUUUUCCCCUCGAAAAUUAAAGGAUAUAAGUACAUGGUAUACAAGAUACGAGUGCCUGUACAAAUAAACUUUAGUAAUUGAAUGUUUUAAUUGUAAUGGGUCAUAAGUGCCCGAACUUUAGAUUACAGAUCAUUUUUAUUUUACGUAAUUUUAGCUCCUUAUCCAUUUUGAAAAUUAAUUAUGUAUUAGGUUGCCUACCUAUCCUUUAAAAAACAGGAUUUUUCAGAUCAUUUUCAACUUUCCGUCUCAAAAUUGAGGAGAUUAACGAGGUGGAAAGGAAUGCAUUUGAAUGUACGUGUUCCAAAACUGAAACACGACAUUACUUAAAAUAGGUAUUGAAAAUUAAUUUUUUAAAUCUUUGAUUGAUAUAAACUCAUCUGAAUGACUCGUGAAAGUUCGUCGAUAUUGCUGCUCGGUACCUUGAAAUGAAAAUAGGAUUAUUAAGGUUAUAUAAGUAAGUAUCUGUAGCUAAUGUGAAAUUAUUCUUUAAGUAGGUAUGUAUUUCAAUUUUCAAAUCUUGAAUAAUCCUUAUACUUAAUCAUGGAUCCUCAUGAAAUCAUGAUCAUUACAUGAAAAAUGAAAAUUAAUUCAUAAAAAUAAAUGUUCUUAAGUAUUUAUUGUGUCUAGAGUUAUAGAAUAUGUGUUUUUUAUAAUUAAAAAUGAUAGGUACGAGUAUGUACCAACUUAUUGUGUGUUUUUGAUUUUAUCCAAUUUGCAUUUUUGUUCAAGAAAAGUAAACUGCAGGGUUAUCUGCCGAUCAACUUCGACAUGAAUUUUGGCUUCAUCAAAAUUGCUAAAAAUUGUCAGUUUUAUGCAAAAAAUUUCAAAAUUUCAUUGUUGCAAAAAAAAAUCGCGAAAAAAAUAGAUAUUGUUUUUUGCCAGUAUCCAAAAAGUCUUGUUUUUUGGCAAAAUAUGUAAAAAAUUUUUGCUUUUCCAAAAAUUGACAAAAAUUUUCAAAUUUUAGCAAAACUGCAAAAAAUUGUGUUUCCAAAAAAUUCUCUUUUUUCUAAAAAUUGUCCAAAAGUUUUGCUUUUUUUUGCCAAAAGUUGCAAAAAAGGUAUCUUUUCGGUGCGAAUAUUGACAAAAAUCCUGUUCUUUGCUAAAAUUUGUUGAAGUGUUGCUUUUUCAGGGAGUCUAACUAACGGUCAUGGAAGUCAUGAAAAAGUCAUGAAUUUUGCUCGAAACACACUUAAAUUUUUUUUUAAAAGCCCAUAAAAUGAAAAAAAAUCAAAAAUUUGUUGAAAAAAAUCAGAAAAAUUAAAAAUUGAAAUACCUACUUGCUUACAAAUUAAAAAAAUCUUUCUCGUAGUUUCGAGUUAUUUAUUUUUUAUUUUUGGAGGGGGUGAGGGGGUAUUUGCAUGCGGUAAAAAUGUGAAAAUAGGUCAUGAAAAAGUGAUGAUUUUUUUUGUCUGGGAGUUUUUUUAAACAUCCUGUUUUUCCAAAAAAAAAUCGCAAAAAUUCUCUAAGGUAAGGUUGGCAACGUGAAUUAGAUGCGUAUGCAUGGUGGAAUGUUAUCUGUCCAGUCCAACAACCAAUCAUGUGCUAUCAUUAUUAUCAUUCACUGUGACCUGCCAAAAUAUUUAGCAAAAAACUUUCUUAGGGGUUCACGAUAUUUCUGGGCACCCUGUAUGUAUAUAUAUAAGGCGCGAAUAAGCAGGUGUCCGAAACAUCAACCCAUUCCCUAUCGUUUCAAGUCUUAGCAACUUCAGAACCAAUUUUUCAUCCCUGCAAUAAAACUUAGACAACUGUCUAGAGCUCAACUGGCAAAAAGUACUCUAGAAAUUAAAGGCUGUUAUUACUUCUACGUACCUACACAUAAGUUACGAAAAAUUCGUUUAGGUACAGUCUUUUGUACGCAGAUGAUAUGGGCCACACAAAGAGUAUUUAGGAUUUUCGCAAUCGUACAAUAAGAGGGGGUGGGUAAAGUCCGAAAGCCUUUGUUUUAUAUGUACAAUGUUCAUUGUUCACUUCUGCAGCUGGCUAGUUGCCUGAUAGUGCGCUAAGACAUCUCAAACGUGAUUUUCGGUUAAAUUUAGCACAAAUAACGGUAACGAACUUCAUCAAAAAACAGCGUUCGAUUCUCCUAGCGGCCGGGGGGCGGGGGGCGAAAUUACAUCUUAUAAGAAGAGUUCUGAUUGGUUGAUUUAAAUCUUGCGGGCGCGCGAGAUUCAAACCGGUUACAAACUAACCAAUCAGAAUGUUUAUGAUGAGAGUUAGUUUGGCCCCCAGCUGUUCAGAUGGCGUAUUUGUUGCAACAAAAACACUCAAUGUACCUACCUAUUUAUUUUGAGAGGAGUUCAUUGCAAAUAAGUACCUGUUACAGUCUGUGUGAUCUGAAUCCGAUUCUACUCGUACAUAUUUUCAUCUCGUUGUUCUGCAAGCUUGCGUGUGAACCAUGUCGAAUUAUGAUGAAAAUAAUGGAAUCAAUGGCAAUUCGAAGUUCGAUGAGAAAAAAUGUGUUUAUACAUGGGUAAUCGACAACUAUCGCGCAAUAGAAGAUAGCUUUCAAUCUCCGGUGUUUACAGCUGAUGGCGAUGAUUUCAAAUGACGUUUGGAACAUAGAAUCUCGAGGAAAAAAGAUAACGCUUCGUCAGUCGUCAUCUAUUUACAUCCUGAUUCGGACACCGAUUUUCAAAAAUACAGCCCUGUAUCUGGAAAUGUGAUGAUCUCACUUCUCUUUGGUAAACUGUGCUUACGAGUUAGUAAACAUGUUGAAUCUCCCUUUGUGCUGAUUUCCGAUGAAACCGGGAAGAACCGAUGUCUUGAAUUUAAUUUUGGCGAUCUUUCUAUCAUUCUGAAGCAGAUCAAUAAAAUGUAUGUUGUUUGCGAGUUGACAUAUCGAAAACAAUCUAUACUAAGUCUCAUAUAUCUGCCUUGGAGUCGAGCCUACCACGUGACCUCGAACAGAUUCGCAUGAAUGAAGAUUUCAGCGAUGUAACCAUCUCAGUGAAAGGUAAAAAUUACCCGGCUCAUAAAUUGAUUUUAGCCGCUCGAAGUUCGGUUUUCAAAGCCAUGUUUCGAAACGAUAUGCAAGAAAGCCAGAAGAAUCGCAUUGUAAUCAACGAUAUAGAAGAAGAAACCUUUGAGGAAAUGUUACACUACAUUUACACCGGAAAAGUGAAGAAUUUGGAAGAAUCGGCCUUCGAAUUACUUUCUGUUGCGGAUAAAUACGAUCUGAAAGAAUUGAAAAACGCUUGUGAAGGAAUUUUACUCUCAAAAUUAUCAGCAGACAACGUAGGCAAGAUUUUAGUACUGGCUGAUAUGCAUAAUGCUGAAGAAUUAAAGGCGAAUGCUCUACGAUUCAUCAAAGCGAAAUAUUCUAAUUGCGGGAAUUAUGAAAAUACGGAAAUGUGGAAAAUAUUGACCGAAUCUCGUCCUAGUUUGAUGAAAGAUAUGCUAGCUAUGGUUUUCAACAAGUAAAGGAAUAAUUAACGAUAUCGUAUUAGGCAGGUAUAGGUAGGUAAGGUAUAGUUUUUUAUUCAAAAUUGACUCCGGAGAUUUGGAAUGUUAAGAGGUUAAGACUGAAAACAUGAUUUGUAUAUUAUAUUAUGUAUUAUGUAGCCUAUUAUUCGUUAUCAAUAAUCUAUGGAAUAUAAUUCUUUUUAUAACCCUUGCCUGAAAAUUAGUUCAUACAAUAAUGUGUUCUUAUUGGUUAUUUUUUAAGAAUUAUAUAUAUACCUAAGUAGGUAGGUUUAUUCUUAAUUUAAAAUUAUACUCAUUAUUAUUGUUUCGUAUGUAUUUUAUACAAUUAUUUAUAUCAUCGUUUGAUUCAUUUUUAUUCAAUUAUUAUUUUAUA